rnacentral:rRNA from 1 species
GAUGAACGCUGGCGGCGUGCUUAACACAUGCAAGUCGAACGGAAAGGCUCCUGCUUGCAGGGGUACUCGAGUGGCGAACGGGUGAGUAACACGUGGGUGAUCUGCCCUGCACUUCGGGAUAAGCCUGGGAAACUGGGUCUAAUACCGGAUAGGACCACAUUUUGGAUGGUGUGGUGGAAAGUUUUUCGGUGUGGGAUGAGCUCGCGGCCUAUCAGCUUGUUGGUGGGGUAAUGGCCUACCAAGGCGUCGACGGGUAGCCGGCCUGAGAGGGUGUACGGCCACAUUGGGACUGAGAUACGGCCCAGACUCCUACGGGAGGCAGCAGUGGGGAAUAUUGCACAAUGGGCGCAAGCCUGAUGCAGCGACGCCGCGUGGGGGAUGACGGCCUUCGGGUUGUAAACUCCUUUCGCUAGGGACGAAGCGUUUUUGUGACGGUACCUGGAGAAGAAGCACCGGCUAACUACG